CCUACGGGGGACUGCAGUGGGGAAUAUUGCACAAUGGGGGAAACCCUGAUGCAGCAACGCCGCGUGAGUGAAGAAGUAUUUCGGUAUGUAAAGCUCUAUCAGCAGGGAAGAAGAUGACGGUACCUGAGUAAGAAGCCCCGGCUAACUACGUGCCAGCAGCCGCGGUAAUACGGAGGGGGCAAGCGUUAUCCGGAUUUACUGGGUGUAAAGGGAGUGUAGACGGUGAUGUAAGUCUGGAGUGAAAGGCGGGGGCCCAACCCCCGGACUGCUCUGGAAACUAUGUGACUGGAGUGCAGGAGAGGUGAGCGGAAUGCCUAGUGUAGCGGUGAAAUGCGUAGAUAUUAGGAGGAACACCAGUGGCGAAGGCGGCUCACUGGACUGUAACUGACGUUGAGGCUCGAAAGCGUGGGGAGCAAACAGGAUUAGAUACCCUUGUAGUC
rnacentral:rRNA from 1 species